AUUGAACGCUGGCGGCAGGCCUAACACAUGCAAGUCGAGCGAGCGGCGGACGGGUGAGUAAUGUAUGGGGACUGCCCGAUAGAGGGGGAUAACUACCGGAAACGGUGGCUAAUACCGCAUACUAUCGGAUAACCCGUAUGGGAUUAGUUAGUAGGUGGGGUAAAGGCUCACCUAGGCGACGAUCUCUAGCUGGUCUGAGAGGAUGAUCAGCCACACUGGGACUGAGACACGGCCCAGACUCCUACGGAGACAGCAGUGGGGAAUAUUGCACGAUAAGCGCAAGCAUGAUGCAGCAAUACCGCGUGGGGGAUAACGGGCUUCGGGUUGUAAACUACUUUCACCAUCGACGCGGUAGAUGAAGAAGAAGCACCGGCUAACUACGUGCCAGCAGCCGCGGUAAUAC
rnacentral:rRNA from 1 species